UAACUGAAGAGUUUGAUCAUGGCUCAGAUUGAACGCUGGCGGCAGGCUUAACACAUGCAAGUCGAGCGGGCGAGGUUGCUUCGGUAACUGAGCUAGCGGCGGACGGGUGAGUAA
rnacentral:rRNA from 1 species